rnacentral:rRNA from 1 species
AGGUGUAACGUCACGCAUCAGACCUCUGAUCAGGGAAGACUACCCGCUGAGUUUAAGCAUAUC